rnacentral:lncRNA from 1 species
UGGGUGUGAGAAGAAAUCCCGGACGAGCCCCCAGAGGAAUAGAUGGGAUCAAACGACUGUAGACAAAAAAAGGUAUGUUACUUCUUUUUUUUUUUCGAAGAAGAGGGGGUGUAAUGAUAUGCCGAUAUGCUGAACACGCCUCGACACUGGGAACCGAGUGAUUCUCUCAAUUCGCGCAGAUGCCCCACCGAGUUCCACCUCUCCGAGACAACACCGGCACACGGAUAUUUAAGAAGGUCGCAAGCAGAAAUCAGUCAGUCCUGAACGACCGUUCUGGGCUCCAUAACCAGCCAAGCGAAGUGAGCGAGGCAGGCCGACCUGAGUCGCGACGUGCACUGUUUUGAGGUGAUUCGUAAACUUAGGCAGGCCAACUCGAGACGAGAGGCAAGGUGUACCGAAGUGAGACGCCCAUCCGGAAGAGGACUUCGCUGGGACGAAAUAGAAUAUUAAAUUAUUAUUUUGCCUUAUAUUGUAUAUAAUUUAGAAUUAAUAGAUUUGCUUUGUUUUCAA